ACACACACACACACCUAUAUUAAAAGGAGAUGUUUGAAAAAGUGGUAUUUUCCCUUGUCAUCUGCUGAGCCCACUAUCUUUACCACACUCCUGAAACUGUACCUGCCCAGGUGUCAUUUCCAGACAUCCCCAUCCCUACAGUCCAACUGAAGACAGACUGACACAGGCGUUUCAUCCCAUGACCAUAUCUCUGUAUUACAAACCAUCCCAGGAUAUCCCCCCCUUGCCUCUGUCUUCUGCUGACCACUCAUUACUUAGAUCAUCCCUGCAUGUUGUCACAGGUCCCAGCUCUCCUGUCUAUUCACUCUUUCUAGGUGAGUUCAUCUAGUUCUGAGGAUUUAAAUACCAGCUAUAGACUAAUGAAUUAAAAACAUUCAUCUCCAGAUCACACUUUUUCAAAGUGGGUGUGGUGACUUUUGUCUAUAAUCCCAGCACACAAGAAGACAGGUAAAAAAUCAAUACACACACAAAAAAAAUAAUAAUACAAACUUCACUCCAACCUUAUCUACACAACAAGUUCUCUAUCUCAAAAUUAUAAUGAUAGAAAUAACAUUUCCUUGUCUGAGGCCAGCCUAAGCUACAUAGUUCCAGGCCUGCUAGGGCUACAUUCUGAAAACCUGUCUUAAAAAAGAUUUAAAAAUAAAAAUAAAGUGUAUUCAACUUUAGGUACUUUUAAAAAAUUAUUUACAUCCCAAAUGCUGUGUCAUUACCCCUCCCCCCUCACAGAGUUCUCCCCUCCCCUUCUCCUCUGAGAAGGUGGGGACCCCAUGGCUAUCUGCCCCUCCUCCCCAUCCUAGCUCAUCAAGUCUGCAAGAUUAGGAACAUCCUCUUCCACUGAGGCCAGGCAAGGCAGCCCUGUUGGGGAAGGAUAUCGCAGUCAGGCUACAGCUUUAGGGAGAUAGGCACGGUUAACAGAUCACCUAUUCUAACAUUUAGUAGGCACCUCAAACUUGAAAUCAAAUAUAACUCUUCUACUGUUUGACAAUUUGUUUAUUUACAUAAUUAACUUUAGUGAUUUUUUUUUUUCACCACCCAAUCAUCUUCCUCUCUGGCUUGGUUUCACUUCUUAACCUGGUAUCACCUGAAUGAGCCCCAUUUCAGUUAAUGACCACAUUUUCCAGUUGUCUAGAGCUACCUCAUAGCCCUUGAUUUGUCUCUUCUCUUGGGACAUUUAGUCUAUUAUCAGGUCGUGUCAGUUUUAAAAUAUCAAGACAUUGACCCCAUUACCACUAUCAUCCUUCCAGUUGUAGCACCACUUUGACUCUUUAGGACCGUUUCCCUGGACUAGCAGAUAUCAUCUGAGUUUCCACUAUUUUCCCCAUAGCCUGUUAGAUCCAGCUCCCAGAGUGGGUUUUUAAUAGGUUAAAUAUGAUCACACACUUUCCCUGUGCCAAUUCCUACAAUGGUCCCCAUUGUGACUUUGCUGCUGCAGAACUUUUAAUAACCUUGUACUAUUUUACUACUUCUCUUCCAGCAAUCAUGAUUCCUGGGGACAAGGCCUUAUUUGCAAGUUAUAUUUGGCAUUAAGCUUAUUAUACAAUUACAAACCCCACAUUAGGUUCCUGAGGGGAAAUGAUGGGAUUAUACUUCAAGUAUUGCUGGUUAAAGGGUUGGGUCACAGUAACUAACUUUUUGGUUGAUUUUUCAGCUCAGACUCUUGUCAUCCAUGUUCACUUAAGAGCUGUUUGAAAUCCUAAAAUUUAGGGCAGUUUUGUUUUGUUUUUGUUUGUUUUAAUUUGUCCUGUGUGAAAUAACUACAGCUUUUCAAAAGCUCUAUUUCAAAACAAGGACUGAGUUAUGUAGAUUUGGGGUUUUUGUCCUAUUCUUACUUCUGUUUUAGUUAUUUCUUUUUUGUGCUGCAAUAGAUAAAAAGAAAUUACCACCUAAAAUGUUUAGUCUUGGUUCUCUCAAAUCUGUAAAAGGGGGGUAGGGGGCUCCUCCCAUCUGAGAUUGGGUUGACUGACUAGGCAAAAUACAUUGGGAUAAAAUCAGUGAAACUACUAAAAGGUUAAUAGAAGCUUUUGGCUAGAAAGCAUCAAAAGUAAAUGUCCUUGCUACUUCCUCUUGUGUUCUAAGUUGGAUGGAGACAUCAUAUCACUAUCUUGCUUAUUGCUCAAGUGAUGCUCAGUUAAAUUUUACAGAAAUGAUUCUUAACCUGCGUGUGGGUCUUGACCCCUUUGGCCGACUUCUAUGUCCAAAAAUAUUUUUGUUGUGACUCUUAAGAGUAGCAAAGUUACAGUUAUGAAGUAGCAAUGAAAGUAAUUUAUGGUUGGGGUCAUCAUAACAUGAGGAGCUAUGUUCAAGGAUUCCAGCAUUAGGAAUGGUGAGAACCACUGCUCUAGAGUUACUGGAGUGUUUUCAAAAGAACCACUUUCUGCAAAUAUUUAGUUAAGGCUAAACAACCAAGAAUCUCUAUCAGUACCUAUUCCUAAAUGGGAAUGUAUUUAGUGUAUUAAGCAUUAUUGUAAAGCAUGCUGUAUCAUAUUGAACCACCUAGAAUUAUCUUUUAAAAUUGACUUGCCUUUUACAUUUUAUUUUAAGUAGUCAAUGAUUUGAGCAUUAUUACUUUCCAUGUGUGGAGUGCAUGCAUUAUGUGUGUGCCUAUCUAUAUACUCUCCCGUGUAAGUAUGUAAAAAAAAAAAAAAAAUCAGAUCUUGACAGCAGGUAUCUUCUUUAGUCACUUUCUGUUUUAUUUACUUGUUUGAUUGUUUUGAGACAGAAGUGUGCUGUGAAACUGAAGCGUGUGGAUGCACUUAUCAGGCUAGCCAGUGAGCCCCUGGGGCCACCCGUCUCCACCCCACCCCACCACCACCACCCCUGUGCUAGGGUUACAAGCAUUCAUGACCAUGCCUAGAUCGAUUGUGGGUGUAGGGCAUCUUAACUCAUGCCUUCAUGUGUGCACAGUAAGUUCUUUACCCACUUAGCCAUCUUCCCAGUCCUGAACAUCACUCUUUUAACAAUAACUAGGCAAACAAACAAAAAAACAAAAAACAGAAACUGAAUCUACUUGGAAAAAAAAUGAGCACAUUUGAAAUAUUUGUUUAGAAUAGCACUUACUUUUAGAAUAUAUAUUCCUGAUAGCAAGCCUAGUUUGGAAUGAUCACAUCAAUAUGUUUGUAAGAUUCACUUUGCUGUGGCAGACAGUAGAAAACAACCACUGAAGGCUGUGAGACAUGCUGAGGUGCCUGACAGGCUGGCUAGCCAGCUGAAUAAUUAGAGAGAAAGGCCUCUUUUUGGUGAUAAAUGCCUGAAAUGAACCAUGAACCUCCAAAGGAGACUAAAAUUUUAAUUUGAGGGACUCUGCAGCAGACAGACAUGAGUGGAUACCUAUUAGCCCAGAGCCACCUUGAUAAUCAUUUUUCUCUGGUGACUGAUACUCAAACUGUUUAUCAACACUCCUUAUCAUCACACCUUGGGAAGAUCUGUGGGUUCACCAUCUUCUGUUGGCUUCCAAAGCAAGCCAUACGAAUUCAGAGUCUUCUAAAGCAUCCCCUGGAGCUAAUUUCAGGCUCUUUCCUAGCCUUCUGCUAUCCAUGUACCCUAGUAUUAUUGUGCUAGUCCAUCUUUCUUCCUAUGUUUUAAAAGCUGUCCUCCU
rnacentral:lncRNA from 1 species